rnacentral:rRNA from 1 species
AGCGCCGCCAGUGGUGACCACUUUUAUUGGGCCUAAAGCGUUCGUAGCCUGUUUUGUAAAUCUUUUGUGAAAUUGUAAGGCUUAACCUUACACCGUGCAGAAGACACUGCAUAACUUGAGACCGGGAGGAGUUAGAGGUAUUCUGGGGGGAGCGGUAAAAUGUGAUAAUCCCUAGAGGACCACCUGUGGCGAAGGCGUCUAACCAGAACGGGUCUGACGGUGAGGAACGAAAGCUAGGGGAGCGAUCC